AGAGUUUGAUCCUGGCUCAKGACGAACGCUGGCGGCGCGCUUCAUACAUGCAAGUCGAGCGAGAAUCCGGCCUUCGGGCCGGAGGAAAGCGGCGAACGGGUGAGUAACACGUGGGUAAUCUGCCCUCGGCACCGGGAUAGCCCGAGGAAACUCGGAUUAAUACCGGAUGGCCCGCCUGCUCCUUGGAGUGGACGGAAAAGGUAGCUUUGGCCUCUGGCCGGGGAUGAGCCCGCGGCGGAUUAGCUUGUUGGCGGGGUAAUGGCCCACCAAGGCGACGAUCCGUAGCUGGUCUGAGAGGACGAUCGGCCACACUGGGACUGAGACACGGCCCAGACUCCUACGGGAGGCAGCAGUAGGGAAUCUUGCGCAAUGGGCGGAAGCCUGACGCAGCGACGCCGCGUGCGGGAGGAAGGCCUUCGGGUUGUAAACCGCUUUCAGGAGGGACGAAGCCACUCGGGUUAAUAGCCCAGAGGGUGACGGUACUUCCAGAAGAAGCCCCGGCUAACUACGUGCCAGCAGCCGCGGUAAUACGUAGGGGGCUAGCGUUGUCCGGAUUUAUUGGGCGUAAAGAGCGCGUAGGCGGCCGGACAGGUCCGCUGUGAAAACUCGAGGCUCAACCUCGAGCUGUCGGUGGAAACCGUUCGGCUAGAGUCCGGAAGAGGAGAGUGGAAUUCCUGGUGUAGCGGUGGAAUGCGCAGAUAUCAGGAAGAACACCUAUGGCGAAGGCAGCUCUCUGGGACGGUACUGACGCUGAGGCGCGAAAGCGUGGGGAGCGAACAGGAUUAGAUACCCUGGUAGUCCACGCCGUAAACGAUGGGUGCUAGGUGUGGGCGGUGUCGACUCCGUCCGUGCCGCAGCUAACGCAUUAAGCACCCCGCCUGGGGAGUACGGCCGCAAGGCUAAAACUCAAAGGAAUWGACGG
rnacentral:rRNA from 1 species